AUGAACGCUGGCGGCGUGCCUAAUACCUGCAAGUCGAGCGCACGGACGGGAAGCUUGCUUCUCUGAUGUUAGCGGCGGACGGGUGAGUAACACGUGGAUAACCUACCUAUAAGACUGGGAUAACUUCGGGAAACCGGAGCUAAUACCGGAUAAUAUUUUGAACCGCAUGGUUCAAAAGUGAAAGACGGUCUUGCUGUCACUUAUAGAUGGAUCCGCGCUGCAUUAGCUAGUUGGUAAGGUAACGGCUUACCAAGGCAACGAUGCAUAGCCGACCUGAGAGGGUGAUCGGCCACACUGGAACUGAGACACGGUCCAGACUCCUACGGGAGGCAGCAGUAGGGAAUCUUCCGCAAUGGGCGAAAGCCUGACGGAGCAACGCCGCGUGAGUGAUGAAGGUCUUCGGAUCGUAAAACUCUGUUAUUAGGGAAGAACAUAUGUGUAAGUAACUGUGCACAUCUUGACGGUACCUAAUCAGAAAGCCACGGCUAACUACGUG
rnacentral:rRNA from 1 species